AACGAACGCUGGCGGCAGACCUAACACAUGCAAGUCGAGCGCCCUUUCGGGGGAGCGGCGGACGGGUGAGUAACGCGUGGGAAUAUGCCCUUCUCUACGGAAUAGCCUCGGGAAACUGAGAGUAAUACCGUAUACGCCCUGUGGGGGAAAGAUUUAUCGGGGAAGGAUUAGCCCGCGUUGGAUUAGGUAGUUGGUGGGGUAAUGGCCUACCAAGCCGACGAUCCAUAGCUGGUUUGAGAGGAUGAUCAGCCACACUGGGACUGAGACACGGCCCAGACUCCUACGGGAGGCAGCAGUGGGGAAUCUUAGACAAUGGGGGCAACCCUGAUCUAGCCAUGCCGCGUGAGUGAUGAAGGCCUUAGGGUUGUAAAGCUCUUUCAGCUGGGAAGAUAAUGACGGUACCAGCAGAAGAAGCCCCGGCUAACUCCGUG
rnacentral:rRNA from 1 species